CCUGCGGAGUGCCCUCGAGCGAGAACCACGCCAGCCGCCCUCGCACUUCAUCCCUUCGCCGCUGCCCUCGCGCUCGCAUCAAGGAUCGAGGCCUCCAGAGUGCCCUCGAUCCCUGCACUACCUCCGUUCCCCGCCGCCGAUCCUUUCCCCGCCACCGAUCCCUUCGCCGCCGCCGAUCUCGUCGCUACUAUCCCCUUCACGAGCCGCCGCCGAUUCCCUUGAGGAGCCGCAGCCGAUCCCUUCACCUGCCCGGCUAGGGCUCCCAUCCGUGUCCUCGCCCUUGCGCCAUUACCAUCGCCUUGUUGUGGCGGCCCCCGUCAAUCACCACCAUCAGCAAAUCCCAGCACAUGCCGAAGCCGUCCAGCACCAACCAGCGCUCCUUCCUAGAUCCAUGACGGAUACCACGGUCUGGAGGGAUCCACGACCGCGACAAUGAAAACGGCACCCAAGUCGCCCACCCGUGCCCACUCCCAGCCUUUCCUCUGGACGCGACGCACAGGAUCGGCGGAGCACCACCGAGCGUGGCACCGACCACGACCUCCAUUUUUCUUUGUGGGAUAGAGAAAAUAUUCUGCCAGAGCUCUCCUAGCGCGUCCACUUUCUUCCGUGGCUAGCAGCAGCGACAAAAAAUCUAGGCACUUAGAGAUAGACAAGCAGGAUUUUCCUUUUUGUGAUGAUAUUUGCAUUCCAGAAGUAGUUCUUGCUUCAUGAGAUUCUGCUUAUGUUUAUUUUCAGAUUUCAGGACUGACGUAGAGGAAAUGAUUAGUACUUUGAGCCGAUCGUGGACCUGUGGUAGUUGAUAUGCUUGAUUGUUCUGCUCUGCUUAUCAACUAGCGAUGCCUUGAUUUUAAUGUGGCCCCUAACUUAUGAACUCUUAGUCUGGAAACUACUGUUAUUCAGUGGUUAAUUAUAACUUUUAAGAAUGGUUACCUUGAUGUUGUUAGUUCUCCCUCUUGUUAACUAGCCAAGAGGUAGAUCCCAGUUUCAUUGAGCUGCUGGCACUUAGUUUUUAGUGUUUCAGUCGUACUGCAAUGCCAACAUCCUUUUUAUUUGGCAUUACGAAACAGUGACAUCUUGAUGCUGAAGCAUGCUAUAGUUUUUUUCAAGACAAUAUAGAUGCAACUUAGUUCAAAUCUGACACUUGCAAAGAUUUUCACAUGUUAUACGUAGUUGGUGAUGGGGUAUAUAGAGCAUGUUGUAGUUGGUGACAACACAUGAUUGUUUCUGUGCAAAUAUAUUCUUUCACCUUGAGUUCUUAUUAUUGUACAUGAUCAUAUGACAACAUUGUAGUUUCAUCCACAUCUCUGCCAUAGCACUACAAAUGGAAACUUUUGUAAGUCCAAUGUUUCCAGUUUAAGAAUGCAUCGGCAUUUUGCUUAUAUUUAUUUGAGUCGCUACUAAAUUGUUAAUCUUGAGCAUCACUUGAUCAACUAUGUGCAUUCAAGUCUUAUUUGCCUCUCCUAAGCUCGAGACUAUUGGAAUGGGUCUACUCCUUGCUCAUCACCUGACCAUUGAUACACUGCAACGGGACACGUCACCACUGGAUGAAACUCACAACGACCGGAAUCUACAUCAUCUAGUGUGUCAUGGCGUCCCUCUUCUAGCUCACUCAUGAUCUUCGCACGUGACCUGCGGUGAGGACCAGUUUCUUAGGGGACAUAGUUGAAGAGCAGCAUUGAUUGGUAAGCCCCGUAUGGUAUUACUUGCAUAAUAAAGAUUGAAAUUUAUCAGUUCGUUUCCUAAUUUUUCUCCGUUUUACUAUCUUUAUUUGCAAAGUUAAAUAAGUGUGUAUAUUUUAGGCCUAUAAUUUACUAACUAUUUCAAUCUCUCUUGUGGAUCUGUGGUGAGGUGCGUGGUGACCUGUGGCGCCUAAGGGCAUCUGGAUGUUGGUAGACGCACUAAGUUGCGGCGGCCACCAGCUGCAGCAGCUGCUCUACAGGGCGGCGGGCGGCAGUAGCAAGAUGAGGCAGUGACCAGCAGCAGCUGCACUACGGGGCGGCGUUAGCGAGUAGCAGCAGUAAGGCGAGGCAGUGGUGAGCAGCGGAACAACCAUGCAAACUGCAAGAAGAAUGAAGCAGUGGUAGCAACAUAUGGUGAAUCAUCAGUUCACAUUUUUUCCAGUUUACAGAUACCCAUGAGAUGAAAUACCAUGCUAUCUUUUAGUCAGAUAAGUUGAUGAUAUGUGCCAAAUUAUACGUGGUAAGAUUGGUACUUUUUUCUUGACGUAUAUUAUUAGAAAGCUCUUCUUAUAAAUAUGAUUUAUCAAUUUGUAGUAAUACAUCCCAUGCAAGAUUACUCUUGUCCAGUGUGUUAUAAUUAAUUGCAAUAUAAAACAUUUUGGCUGCUAUGUUGUCUGCUCUAUAGUUGGAUAUGGCCGGCUAUUCUAUAUCUGUUUAGGAAGGUUGAGCACAAAGUAAGAAAAUACUACUUUCAUCAUACAAUCAGUUGCUUAAAAUAUUAGUGUAUCAUGAUCUAAAAAAGGUGUAUCAUUUGUGAUAUAUGUACUGUUUUUAAAUUGUCACAAAGUAUAUGCAUACACUAUUCAUUCAUCCAUCUAGAUCUAAUGUAUCUUUUCAUGUCCCUGCAAAAGAGCUUAUCACUAUGUGUGUUCUGGUUAUAUAUCACCAAGAAUGGCAGAGGAAUCGAUGGCAAAAAUAAGGAACAAUAUUCUUCUUAUUUCCAAGAAAGGCAUUUAGUUGAUUCAUGUCAGUUCUUGGAACUAAAGCAUCAUACAAUGAUAGGUGGGCUGGUGCUCUCGGCAUAAUACUUUUGUGCAGUUGUGUUACAACAUGUUUUCAUUGAGAUGUUAUCCAGUAUUUUUCAGCUCCUAAAGAUAGGCUCCUCAUUUCAAAAGGAUUAAAUGAGUCUAUAUGGUCAUGGCUUGUCGUCCGUCUUGAAGCGGAUUCAGAGCCCGGUAGGAUCGCACACCGUAUGGCUUGGACAUCGGAAGAAGAUACAAGAUCGACAAGCGUUCGGUCGAAAAACUCAAAUUAUUCCAUCGAUAGAAUAACAUGAAGAACAAGUACUGGGAUGACAUGGUUGUUACUACAAUAGUAAAAGGCCAAGUCACGGGAGGAGAGAUGCUCAGCGUGUAUGAUGGAAAUGGUGGCUCGGAAGUGAGGUUAUCUUCUCUUGAAAAUCUUGACCCACAAAAGAAAUUAACCUGACGCCGUGGGAACCAGGAAAGCGUAGAUCACGAAUGGCCCCACAAUUUGGUGGUGUUUGUGUGUUGUGCGGUCAAACCUUUCUACGGGCUCCAUGGCGAUGCAGCAACAUCACCUUCUCAGGGAGAUGAGACGAUGGGAUGUGGCCACGUCGUGCUACAUGUUGUUGUGCUAGCUUUGUUGUGUGUGUGUGUGUGUGCGCGCGCGCGUGUGUGUGUGUGAGAGAGAGGGAGGGAUGGAGGGCAUUGGCUGAUAGGGGAUGGUUAUGUUGUUGCUAGAUAUGAGCAACGUUCUGUCUAUGUCUUUAGAGAAGCCUUUUGCUUUAGUUUAACUGGGGUGGAGAGUGGGUACUGUUGUGACAAAGUUGCAUGUUACUAGAUUAUCAAACAUGUUGUUUAGGUGAAUAUGUACCGUCGAAAAGAGAGCAAUGGUACUAUGAUUGUACUGUUUUAUGCUCGAUGUUAAAGAAUACUCUUGCAAGCAGUUAGCGACGAGCUGAUGGUGCAUUAUAUUGUAUAGAAGAUUCUUUUGAUCCCACAA